rnacentral:rRNA from 1 species
GACGAACGCUGGCGGCGUGCUUAACACAUGCAAGUCGAACGGUAAGGCCCGGUUUUUGUGCGGUGCUCGAGUGGCGAACGGGUGUGUAUCACGUGAGUAACCUGCCCUUGACUUUGGGAUAACUUCAGUGAACUGGAGAUCUUACAGCAUAGAAGCUUCGGCUGUAUGUUGGGUGUUGGAAAGUUUCGGAGUUUGGGGAUGAACUCGCGGUUUAGCAGCUUGUUGGUUGGGUAGUGGCGUACCAAGGCAUUGACGGGUAGCCGGCCUGAGAGGGUGACCGGCCCCAGUGGGACUGAGAUAGGGCCCAGACGCCUACGGGAGGCAGCAGUGGGGAAUAUUGCACAAUGGGCGGAAGCAGGAGGCAGCAACGUCGCGUGCGGGAUGACGGUUUUAGGGUUGUAAACCGCUUUCGCCUGUGACGAAGAGUGAGUGACGGUAAUGGGUAAAGAAGCACCGGCUAACUACGUG